rnacentral:lncRNA from 1 species
CGACUGAAUUCGAAAACGUACGUUUCCUCGUGAGAUCAGGUUCUAUAGUUAUUGUUUUUUAUUAAUAUUAAUGUUAUGUCACUUGCUUAUCAUGAUUUUUUAAAAUAAAUUUAUUACCAUUGGCAACGCAAACAUUUGCCUCAUGUCCGCGUGCGCGCGCCUCCGCUAAACGAUUUCAAACCGAAGGACUCGAGGAUUGGGCCAGAAAGCAGUCCAGAAUGAUCAAAGAUGGAAAAUGAAAGCUCUCCAAGAGCUCGUCAGAUGUGCUGAGUCUGCUUACCCGUGCAAGGCUUCGAGUGCAGAAUGAAUUGGUUCAGAAAGUUUCAUCUGUCAGUCUCCUGUUGGCGUGGAGCCUAAACUUCUCUGAGUACUGUGUGCGUCCUGCGGCCUCGGCUGUCUGAAAUUUGCACCGGGCUGCUGUUUGUAAAGGGCUUUACAGCUGUCAGUCCUCAUGAUGCCUGUCACCUCCUCACACACUCACACACAGGAUUACAGAGCAGGCCUGAAGAUCACGGCCUGAAAGCCAGAUAAAAUGUCCCCCAACGCGGGCCACUUGACUGACUAAGCUGGUUGUCAUCGUCUGAGAGAGAUUCCAGCUCUUGUAAAAACACAGAGCUCAGCCCUUCACUUCAGCACGGUCGCUCCUGUGAUUGUCAGGUUAGUAAUAAUAUCAAAUGCUCCCGUUUUUCAACACCUCGGCCCAAGACACUGCAAAGCUGAAAAGAAUACGACAGCUCAUUCUCAUAGGUGUCAUGCACUUACAUGGCAGAGCUUGUUGGAGAAGGAGUCAAAUUAGCCUUAAUAGCGACUUGCAUUAUGAAGAGUAAAAAGCAAUUAUGGUGUUUCACUCCUGUUUAGAUAUUGUAGGCCUUUGGAGAACAGGAUAUGACAUCAUAUUGUGCAUGUAUGUGGGGAUUUUUUUUUCAUGGCAAAUGUGAUGUUUUUGUGCAGAAGAUUUGAAAUGAGACGAUAAAAUUAAAAGCUGUCUUAUUUUA